rnacentral:rRNA from 1 species
GACUUAAGGUCCGGAGCCGAAGCGAAAGCGAGUGUUAAAAGCACGGUUGAAUCGCUUAUCAUAGACCCGAAACCGGGUGAUCUAUCCAUGUCCAGGUUGAAGCUGCCGUAAGAGGUAGUGGAGGACCGAACACACAUCCGUUGAAAAGGGUGGUGAUGAGGUGUGGAUAGGGGAGAAAUUCCAAUCGAACCCGGAGAUAGCUGGUUCUCCUCGAAAUAGCUUUAGGGCUAGCCUCUGGUUAGUCUGCCGCAGGUAGAGCACUGAAUUUCCUAGGGGGCGUCAAAGCCUACCGAAGAAUAUCAAACUGCGAAUGGCGGACAGAUGAUGCCAGGGAGUCAGACUGCACGAGAUAAGUUGGGUGGUCAAAAGGGAAAGAGCCCAGACCUACAGCUAAGGUCCCAAAGUGUGUGUUAAGUGGAAAAGGAUGUGGGAUUUCGAAGACAACUAGGAUGUUGGCUCAGAAGCAGCCACACAUUAAAAGAGUGCGUAAUAGCUCACUAGUCGAGAGGUCCUGCGCCGAAAAUGUCCGGGGCUAAAACACAACACCGAAGCUUAGGAAU